GGGAGUUCCUUAUUGACGGACGCGAAAACUGACCUUCGUCGUCGUUUUUGGAGACAAUAAACCGAGCAGGCGCCCCUAGAUGCCACCUUGCUUGAUGGAGGGACAUGAGGAGCUUGGAUUGGAUUGCUUGGUUGUCUCCUGAGCCUGUUUUGGGAUGGAAGAGGGUUAGAGGAAUACUUUCCCCACCAGAGAAAUUUGGGUGAUUUACUCUGCAUCUGCCUAUGAACCAAGGUACUUUGUGCCCGCUUCCAAACAGCCGAUGCUUUUCCGUGAUCGUAGCACGAACCGAGUCCCAGUUGUUCCAGCUAUCAGCUUUACUGUCUCGAAAGACAACGUUAUGUUUCUCUUUAGCAGUGUAUUAGCAUUUUCCAUCGCUGCUUUUUGUUAAAAUCUGUCAGAAAAUCCAAACAAAAUGAGGCCUUGCUUCAAAAAAGGUGCACAAAUAAUGGGAUUUGUUGAACGAAUGUAAUCUAGCAGCCUUGAAUGCUUAACUCUAUCUCUGUAUUGGGCGGAAAAUUUUUGGCUGGGAGAUAGCUGACUUGUUUCUAUGGCAACGGAGAUCAUGUCAUGGAUAUUGGGCAAAACCCAGAGACGGCCGUUUGAUCUGUAAGCACGCGUUUCACACUGCUUGCUCGCAAGCGCUGUUUAGAGAAACCUAAGACAACCCGUUCUUCCAUUAACUUCUUUUAGGGGACAAAAUAUUUAUUUGCAAAUGUUGCUUAGGUGUGCAGAUUUUACAGAUCCAACAAGCAAGUAGGUGUCUGGGUUUUUUCCUCUGUCUCCUUUGGUUCAGCAAUCAGGAGAAACCACCCUGGAGGAGACCUGUGGGUUUUAUUCUUUCUUUCCAUCAUUGCUAACAUGGAAGCGAGUGAGCGAAGGCAAAACGUACAUUGCCAUCUCGAUUUUAUUCUUGUAUUAAUUAUCCCCUUGACUCCUUAAAAGGCCCUGGGCGUUAAGAUGAGAGGUUGGAGAUGGCGCGCUGGGCAGGCAGAUUUGUGCAGAAAGAGCCCUUGAAUGUAGUAAGUCCGUGUUGAUAGCAAAAGCCACUAAAAGACGCGGCGUCGGCUUGUGCUUUAAUAGAGUUAAUGUGUUAAUGUAAUCCAGAGAGCUUGAGCGGUGAAAAGCCUCGCUGAAAGGUUUGGUUUGUCCGUGCAGCGUCUAGUUCAGCUAGAGCCUGGCCCAGGACUGAAGCUUUUACGCGCCGGCGUUGUGUUGUGCUCGGUGCCGCUUCGGAGUCGUAAAAAGGUUAAAAAGCGUGGCAAGGCGUAUGCGAGGACCAGCCCAUGGCUACGUGGCUUCAAUUUUAGGAGGAGCUCCUGUUAUGGAAACGGAGGCUUUGCAAAGGUAGCCACGGAUGCUUGUGUGCUCCUGGGCUUUUAUGGCUGCAUUUGUUAAAUGCACAGAAGAGGCUCAUUGCAAUUUGAAGGAAGGAUUACGGCUGGGAAGGGAGGCAAAUCACGAUUUCUUGGUUAAUAUGAUAUGAAGCUUGAAGCCCAUUGCAGCCACUUAGCAGGAGGUGAUUAUCGCUCUGAAUAAUUCAUGGCCUUGGUAGAAAUGCUGGGAUUAAGGCUUUGUAGAGAAUUCUUCCUGAUGGACAUCCGAAGAUAUAACGAUAUAGCCCAGAUCACAGACAGAGACUGCCGGGAGCCUGGGAUCCCGGUUGGGGUCCCAGUUUUCUACUUCCAGUCUCAAGAUCACGUCUCCCCUUGAAGGUGGAAAAGAAAAGGCCGGAGUUGCCCUGAGGUCCCGUUUGCAGAACAACCGAAACGCUUGAAAGCGGUAUUGAUGUGCUUCCAGGUUUCUGCAGUUCUGGCUUCUUCAUGGCUUGCUCGUAAUGUGCGUUUAAAGCAAAUCCGUCGACCCUAAAUCGUCAAUGACCGACUGCCGUCUGCUGCGCCCCGAAAAGCGGCGGUUGCGCUGGCAUCCCUGGACGCGCUGUUUGCUGCCGGUGGCUGGACGUAGCCGCAGAGAUGAGAUGAGAUGGAGACGGAAACACGCGGGAGGCUGUCACCAUGGCAAUGCCGCAGCUGGAUUAAGUAGACCAAACCGGAGCGCAUCGUGCUCAGGCUUAAACGAGCUAUUUAGCACCUCGCUCAGCUGCUUUAACUGGUGGUUUGUAGGCUGAUGGUUGUAAUUUGCAUAAAAGGAAUAAAAAUAGUGUCAAUUACUGAGUGUUCUUCAGAGCCUGUAUCCAGCACUGUGUCCUGUAUAAUCCCGACAGCCUGCUUUAGGGAGCAACCUAAGUAGGGAGAAAAGCUCAUCUACGAUACUGAGUUGUUUUCAAAACGAAGACGUUAAAAUGUACGUUAUCCAUCAGUUCGACUGAAGGUGAUUUUUUCCAUCAAGGAAAAUGUUUUCUUCCAGCUGCAGUCAGGCUUACGUGGCACGAGCCGGGGACGGCGUGGGGAGUGACGGGACGCGGGUACCUCUGCGCUGGCCCCUCUUCCUGGAGACCAAAACGCUGCGCGUGGCGAGGCGUCGGGGCUUGGCGUCGCCCUGAACUCAGCGGACCGGCUUGAUGAUGAUGAUGAUGGUGAUGAUGGUUUACGUCGGCCUAGCUGCAGCGCCAGGGCUAGCGCAGGGAACGGCGGCUGGGUAUGGGAGGGACCUGGGCGGCCCGUUUCAGCAGCGGCCGGCUUGGCUCGGUUGCAGCAUCACAUUC